AUUGAACGCUGGCGGCAUGCUUUACACAUGCAAGUCGAACGGCAGCGCGGGCUUCGGCCUGGCGGCGAGUGGCGAACGGGUGAGUAAUACAUCGGAACGUGCCCAGUAGUGGGGGAUAGCUCGGCGAAAGCCGGAUUAAUACCGCAUACGACCUGAGGGUGAAAGCGGGGGAUCUUCGGACCUCGCGCUAUGGGGCGGCCGAUGGCAGAUUAGCUAGUUGGUGGGGUAAAGGCCUACCAAGGCGACGAUCUGUAGCUGGUCUGAGAGGACGACCAGCCACACUGGGACUGAGACACGGCCCAGACUCCUACGGGAGGCAGCAGUGGGGAAUUUUGGACAAUGGGCGAAAGCCUGAUCCAGCAAUGCCGCGUGUGUGAUGAAGGCCUUCGGGUUGUAAAGCACUUUUGGCGGGAACGAAAAGGACUGUGCCAAUACCACGGUUCGAUGACGGUACCCGCAGAAUAAGCACCGGCUAACUACGUG
rnacentral:rRNA from 1 species